rnacentral:rRNA from 1 species
AACGAACGCUGGCGGCAUGCCUAACACAUGCAAGUCGAACGAGACCUUCGGGCCUAGUGGCGCACGGGUGCGUAACGCGUGGGAACCUGCCCUUAGGUUCGGAAUAACUCCCCGAAAGGGGUGCUAAUACCGGAUAAUGUCUUCGGACCAAAGAUUUAUCGCCUUUGGAUGGGCCCGCGUUGGAUUAGCUAGUUGGUAGGGUAAAAGCCUACCAAGGCGACGAUCCAUAGCUGGUCUGAGAGGAUGAUCAACCACACUGGGACUGAGACACGGCCCAGACUCCUACGGGAGGCAGCAGUGGGGAAUAUUGGACAAUGGGCGAAAGCCUGAUCCAGCAAUGCCGCGUGAGUGAUGAAGGCCUUAGGGUUGUAAAGCUCUUUUACCCGGGAUGAUAAUGACAGUACCGGGAGAAUAAGCUCCGGCUAACUCCGUG